rnacentral:lncRNA from 1 species
AUGGACAAAAAAAAAAAAAAAAAAAAAAAAAAAAAAAAAAAAAAACCACGCAUGGGAUUAAAUGGCAGAGUUCAAGAGGUUAUGCAAACUGUGCUGGUAUGCAGCAGAAAAUGGAAAUCUGAAUCCAGUGCAGCUGAAAGAAACAGCAUAACCAAACACAGGCUGCAGCAACGGCUAAAUGAUGUUUCCCAACUCAGACAUAAUGGAUUGCUGCUUCUCCCAGUAUGAGAAAAGAAGCCCCCAUGGGAAGGUAAACUUGAGUCCUCUGGGCAGGAUAUGUUGAAAAUCCUUGUUCUGUUGAAAGAGUGUUUGGUAAUCCUAAAAUCCCAGGAAAGAGUUUAAUGGAAGUGUGAGGGAUGUGGGCCAGCGAGAUCGACGCCUGCACCAGAGGCAUAACAAAGACUUCCCGUUGACUCAAAAGGGCUUUGACCUGUGCAGGAACAUGUCACAGAGAGGCUAACCCAGGCAAAUUUGAGGAGCCUCCUUGCACAAUACCAGAGCCUGGGAAAAGGAUUACCACCAACCUUUACUGCCCCUGAUUUCGAGUUUCUUGUUUGCAGGGGUAAAAUCAGUGCUGGCACCCCAGUUCCCCCAAGAGUCAGCAGGGUUUUUUCAUUUGUUACCCAAGCAGAUACUUGCUGAGCUGGAUUACAUUGCACAGGCUGGUAUCCUUGUGUCCCUUAUGGUUUGCUGAGAUCUCGCUUCUUGCUCUCAGUGGAGAGAAAAAGACAUAUACCUGUGUGCUUGAGUUAAAAGCAUGAGGAGGGAAACUCAGCCCAAGAUACCCUUUUGUACCUGCUUGCUGUGGUAGGCUAGCUUCAGGCAGGCACACAAGUGAGCUGUCAGGGUGCCCACCUCUGGUUGCUCGCAGUUCAGACAUUCCCCACACCUCAAUGUUUCUGAGUUUUUUUACAGAGCUAUGCUGUAAAUGUCUGUUUAUCUACUGCCAGCACAGAAGCUUUUUCAUUUUACACCCAAGUCAAACUCUACUUAUAACAGUGACAGGUCCCUUCAGGGACAUAAGCUGAUGUGUGAUAUCCAAAAUGUUUUCCAGGUCAGCCUAAUCAGUGCUAGAGAAGAUUGUCUAAGAGCAACACAUCUUCUCUCCCAUUAGGCAUCAGUAUAUAAGAGAGAUGUGAAAAAGGGUUCAUCUCAGUCACUGCCUCUGUUUUACAUACCUCUUAUGUCUUCACCUAAGUGCUCCACUAGGCAUUAAAGGCAUCCUCAU